CCUACGGGUGACAGCAGUGAGGAAUAUUGGGCAAUGGACGAGAGUCUGAACCAGCCAAGUAGCGUGAAGGAUGACUGCCCGAGGGGUGGUAAACUUCGUUUAUAUGGGAAUAAAAUGUUCCACGUGUGGGAUUUUGUAUGUACCAUAUGAAUAAGGAUCGGCUAACUCCGUGCCAGCAGCCGCGGUAAUACGGAGGAUCCGAGCGUUAUCCGGAUUUAUUGGGUUUAAAGGGAGCGUAGGUGGAUUGUUAAGUCAGUUGUUAAAGUUUGCGGCUCAACCGUAAAAUUGCAGUUUCAACUGGCAGUCUUGAGUACAUUAGAGGUGGGCGGAAUUCGUGUUGUAGCGGU
rnacentral:rRNA from 1 species